UACGGGGGGAGCAAGCGUUGUUCGGAUUUACUGGGCGUAAAGGGCGCGUAGGCGGUCAGCACAAGUCAGUUGUGAAAUCUCCGGGCUUAACUCGGAAAGGUCAACUGAUACUGUGCGACUAGAGUGCGGAAGGGGCAACUGGAAUUCUCGGUGUAGCGGUGAAAUGCGUAGAUAUCGAGAGGAACACCUGCGGCGAAGGCGGGUUGCUGGGCCGACACUGACGCUGAUGCGCGAAAGCCAGGGAGCGAAGCGGG
rnacentral:rRNA from 1 species